UUGGAGGGCAAGUCUGGUGCCAGCAGCCGCGGUAAUUCCAGCUCCAAUAGCGUAUAUUAAAGUUGCUGCAGUUAAAAAGCUCGUAGUUGAAUUUCGGGACCAUCAUGUCGGUCGUGCCUCGGUACGUACUGGCAUUGUUGGUUUCUCCCUUCUGACGAACCAUGAUGUCAUUUAUUUGGUGUUGUGGGGAAUCAGGACUGUUACUUUGAAAAAAUUAGAGUGUUUAAAGCAGGCUCACGCUUGAAUACAUUAGCAUGGAAUAAUGAAAUAGGACGUUUGAUUCUAUUUUGUUGGUUUCUAGGAUCGACGUAAUGAUUAAUAGGGAUAGUUGGGGGCAUUAGUAUUCAAUUGUCAGAGGUGAAAUUCUUGGAUUUAUUGAAGCCUAACUACUGCGAAAGCAUUUGCCAAGGAUGUUUUCAUUAAUCAAGAACGAAAGUUAGGGGAUCGAAGACGAUCAGAUACCGUCGUAGUCUUAACCAUAAACUAUGCCGACUAGGGAUCGGAUGAUGUUAAUUUUUUAAUGACUCAUUCGGCGCCUUACGGGAAAC
rnacentral:rRNA from 1 species